rnacentral:rRNA from 1 species
GCCCCUGAUGAAUUAAAUGGCCGCGGUAUUUUGACCGUGCAAAGGUAGCAUAAUCACUUGUUUUUUAAUUGAAAGCUUGUAUGAAGGGUUUGAUGAAAAAAUGGCUGUCUCUGGAAAAGUUUAUUAAAAUUUUAUUUUUAAGUGAAAAAGCUUAAAUAUUUAUAGAAGACGAGAAGACCCUAUAGAGUUUUAUAAGUAAAUUUAAUAUAGUGUUUAGGUAUAUUGUUUUUGUAUUAUUUUUGUUUAUUUUAUUGGGGUGAUGGGAAAAUUAAUUUAACUUUUCUUUAUUUUUAUACUAAUUUGUAAGUUUAUGAUCCUAUAAUUUAGAUUAGAAGAAUAAAUUACCUUAGGGAUAACAGCGUAAUUUUUCUUAGAGUUCAUAUCGAAAGAAUAGAUUGCGACCUCGAUGUUGGAUUAAAAUUAAUUACUGGUGCAGUAGCUGGUAUAUUAGGUCUGUUCGACCUUUAAAAUUUUACAUGAUCUGAGUUUAAACCGGUGUGAG